CAAACAUAUAUAUAUAUAUAUAUAUAUUCUGUGUGUAUGUGUGUGUACAUAUAUAUAUUCUGUAUAUAUAUAUAUAUUUUGUGUGUGUGUGUGUGUGUGUAUUCUGUAGUCUACUGCCCAUUAGGUGAAGAAAACAUGGUCACUGUCUCAUGUUUAAAAUAAGAGAAAAAAAAUUACUUCUCCUUCGAAUACAUUUGUCAACGCUCCAAAGAAAUAAACAAUAUGUGAAUAGUUCAGUACAAUUAUAUAUUUACAAAGCAUAGGGGGUUUAGUCUAACAUUUUCCCACCUGAAUAAACUGAGCUUAAGUAUCUCCGACAAUCAAAAGGCAAUACUGCGUUCUUCCCAAUAUGCCAUGUCACCUUUGUAGCACUCACACACUUGCAGGGAAGGGACUCGGGGUUGGGGGUGGUUCUGAUGUAGAAAUUGCAGAUGGAGAGCUGGGCUCUGGGGAUGGAAAUGGAGAGGAGCGAAAAAGAGCCUGGAGAAAAGGCUGUCAUAUUUGCUCAGAAGAACCGCCAAAUCAGAGAGCACAGAAGAUUUCAUUGGGGGAGAGCCUUCAACAGCAACUAAUCCUGUCAUACUGAAAGAAAAUUGUAAAUGUUCUCUCCAGAAACUGUCCGUCCAUUGCAGCUAAUCGAACACACACGCACGAAUACAGACACGCUCUCCUGCUGUACUAAAGGCGCCCGGGCGCAAAGACCUACGGAGCGCGCGCGGGCGCACACACACACACACACACUCACACGCUCCAGGCUGCCGGUUGGCCAGAGCCUGGCAAUCGCAGAUUUCACCAGGAAAUCGCCGAGAUACCGGAAUAGGUGUUGCCUCCCCAAAACUAAUUCCUACUUCCCCAAGCACUUUGGGGAAGAAAUGAAUCCAACCCAGCUCGCCGAGGCAUCCAGGUCUCCGUUCUAUUUUGGUCUCCAGGCUCUUCGUGAAAGCCAGAUCAAGGGAGAAAGAGAACCGGCGGCUGGCCUCGGACUCUAAGCGGUGCGCAGCUCCAGCCCGGGCGGAUCGGCCCUGAACCCACAAACGGCUCCUCGCUCCUUCAAGCCUCCACCACCUCGCAGCCGGGGAGGCAACUGGAGCGAAACCAGCGACAGGUAAGGGCCCCGCGCUGUGCAGCUCUCCGCUUACCCACUCCGAGGACCCUGGCACCAGGGGGUCUCUCCCUUCAUAUCCCCCCAAACCGGACGCUCAGGGGUCGGGGCUUGGGGGAAUUGGAGGGAGGUCCUCCCCACGUGCAGAUUCUCAAACGGAAACUUUGGAUCCUGGGGCUUGGAGGGUUGGGGGCAGUGAUGGCGGGUAUGGAAGGAAGGGGCAAAUGAGGCACAGCGCGGGGCGGGGUACCCCUACGAUUCCGAGGGUCACUGAGUCCAGCCGAAUGUGGCGAAAACAGCCUCGGAGCCGCGCUGUCCCGGCAUCGUUCCCAACAGCCCCCCAUUCCCUCUACUGUUGCCGCCCCCCCUCCCGCCACCCACUCCAGAUGCGGCCAUGGACAAGACAAGGAGAGCUUCGUCCCUCCCGCCCCUCGGGUUCCUUCCUGCUGGGGUCUGACCGCGUCUUCUGUGCGUGUGGGAUGGAGGCCCGGCUCGCCCGGGCUCCAGGCUGUCCCCCGGCUCCGCUUUCGAAGCAGCCCUCGGGGGCUGGAGAGGUUUCCCAUUGCGGUCUCCGGGUCAUGGCCAAGGAGGAGAAGCAUUAAGAAUGGGGGAAAGGGUCCCAAGACAAAGGAGAGGGAAGCAUUCUGCAAUCCUAUUCUAUUUUAGCCCCUCGCAGGAGCUAGACUGUCCGCCGUGGCUAGGGGACAAGGUCUCAGCCCGAAGCUCAUGAGGUACCAGACUGUGCCUGGGCUUUGCCACCUAACUCACAACGGGUCCUGAACCGCCCCGGUAGUCCCCGGGGUCGUAGAUUGGGGACCGCUGUACGCCUCCCCCCUCCCCCCAAGAAUGUCCCUUGCAGUCCGCACCUGAGGUCCCAGGCAAUCGCCGCUAACUUGUAGCUCUCGGACCCGGACAGGUGAGGUGCAUGCCUGGUACCGGUAGACGCGCAGAAAUUCCACCUAUGCGCGCUGCCGGGCGCCCCUGGGGCCCCUCACGGGGUAAGUAGAGACUCCUCCGGGAGAGGUGAAAAUUCCCCAGCAUUAAGAACACACACGGCGGCACACCCUUUGCCUCCGUCGGCCUCCAGCACCCGCAUCCCUUUCUCUAUCUUCCUGCUCAUCGCCGACCUCGAGGUUGCCCCGAGACACAAAAUUGUCCCAGGCAGAGUCCACCGACCCGCCAAUCCCUGGCGAUGUUGUCAAGGCUCUUGCAUAUACGGAAAUACCAGCAGGGAGGGUCGCCAGGGGCAGAGAGGCUGGAGGAGAACAGAGAAUCGGAGGUAAACGCGUAAUGCCAGCAGAACUGUCGGUGGACAUUUCACCCAGACUGCCCUCCCACAUCCUUAGGUCAGUUCACCGCCACAGCACGUCUGUGACGGCGGCCACCCAGGGCUCCAAGUCUUCCAGCCCCGGCGCCGCGAGCCAAGAAGAAUGCCGCGCCUCCCACUCCUCAAGCUCCGGAAUCCCCCACAUUGACUUUCUAUUUCCCUUUCUUCUUUUCUUUUUUGUUUGUUUUGUUUUUCCUGCUCUUUUCUUAGCGCUGGGUGGCAGUGGGUAUGUGGCAGCCGUGUGAUUUGCCCUUCCCCUAGUACACGCAGCCAGAGACACAAGCACACAACGACCAGUCCCCACGCUCUGCCACACGCCCUCCAGAGCUCUGGCGCGCAGCCCCUGCUCCACAGCUCGGGGCGCCUGCAGCCACCGCCAGGGUCAUGGCCAUGGCCCAAGCAGGGCUCAGAGGGUGGAGAGGGGAGUCAACCUAGACUCCAGAGAGAAACCUUGGGACAACCCUAAAGGCC
ensembl:lncRNA